GACGAACGCUGGCGGCGUGCUUAACACAUGCAAGUCGAGCGGUAAGGCCCUUUCGGGGGUACACGAGCGGCGAACGGGUGAGUAACACGUGGGUGACCUGCCCUCAGCUCUGGGAUAAGCCCGGGAAACUGGGUCUAAUACUGGAUAUGACUCCAUGACGCAUGUUGUGGGGUGGAAAGCCUUGUGCGGCUGAGGAUGGGCCCGCGGCCUAUCAGCUUGUUGGUGGGGNGAUGGCCUACCAAGGCGACGACGGGUAGCCGGCCUGAGAGGGCGACCGGCCACACUGGGACUGAGACACGGCCCAGACUCCUACGGGAGGCAGCAGUGGGGAAUCUUGCGCAAUGGGCGAAAGCCUGACGCAGCGACGCCGCGUGAGGGAUGACGGCCUGGUGUAAC
rnacentral:rRNA from 1 species